rnacentral:rRNA from 1 species
UACGUUGGUGGCAAGCGUUAUCCGGAUUUAUUGGGUGUAAAGGGCGUGUAGGCGGGAAUGCAAGUCAGAUGUGAAAACUAUGGGCUCAACCCAUAGCCUGCAUUUGAAACUGUAUUUCUUGAGUGCUGGAGAGGCAAUCGGAAUUCCGUGUGUAGCGGUGAAAUGCGUAGAUAUACGGAGGAACACCAGUGGCGAAGGCGGAUUGCUGGACAGUAACUGACGCUGAGGCGCGAAAGCGUGGGGAGCAAACAGG